AUCUUUGCCGCUUGAAAGAAAACCUUUCAUUUUACAUAACAAUCAUUUACAAUAAUAUUAGAAUG
rnacentral:ncRNA from 1 species